CGAAAGCCUGACCGAGCGACACCACGUGCGGGAUGAAGGCCUUCGGGUUGUAAACCGCUGUCGUAGGGGAGGAAGGUCCGGUGUAGAGCCGGGCUUGACCGAUCCUAGGAGGAAGGGCCGGCUAAUCUCGUGCCAGCAGCCGCGGUAAUACGAGAGGCCCAAACGUUAUUCGGAUUUACUGGGCUUAAAGAGUUCGUAGGCGGCGCGAAAAGUAGGGUGUGAAAGCCCUCGGCUCAACCGAGGAAUUGCGCUCUAAACUGUCGUGCUUGAGGAACCUAGAGGUGAGCGGAACUGAUGGUGGAGCGGUGAAAUGCGUUGAUAUCAUCAGGAACACCGGAGGCGAAGGCGGCUCACUGGGGGUUAUCUGACGCUGAGGAACGAAAGCCAGGGGAGCAAACGGGAUUAGAUACCCCGGUAGUCCUGGCCGUAAACGAUGAGCACUAGACCGGAGGCCUGCACAGGUUUCCGGUCGAAGCGAAAGUGCAAGUGCUCCGCCUGGGGAGUACGGUCGCAAGACUG
rnacentral:rRNA from 1 species